UGUAAUCGCCUUAUUAUUAACUCGGACAAUCUGGAGGUGAUUGAUACCAUGAAGAAUGGAGGACAAUCGGCGGGUGCAGCGGCAGCAAUUUUCGACGAUUGUUCUCAUUAUGCUUGUGACUUCGUUACUACUAGAUUCGAACACUGUGACAUAGAGGCAAAUAAAGUAGCUCAUGAGCUUGCGAGUUUAGCUAGAUUUUCGUUGAUUUCUGAUUGGUUUGAGGAACCUUUAAAUGAAAUUAUAAUGAUCCUCACAAACAAUGUAUUUUUUUAUCUCUAA
rnacentral:rRNA from 1 species